AGGACGAACGCUGGCGGCGUGCUUAACACAUGCAAGUCGAGCGGAAAGGCCCUUCGGGGUACUCGAGCGGCGAACGGGUGAGUAACACGUGAGUAAUCUGCCCCUAGCUCUGGGAUAGCUCCGGGAAACCGGGAUUAAUACCGGAUACGACCACCUUAGACAUCUUUUGUGGUGGAAAGAAUUUCGGCUAGGGAUGAGCUCGCGGCCUAUCAGCUUGUUGGUGGGGUAAUGGCCUACCAAGGCGACGACGGGUAGCCGGCCUGAGAGGGCGACCGGCCACACUGGGACUGAGACACGGCCCAGACUCCUACGGGAGGCAGCAGUGGGGAAUAUUGCGCAAUGGGCGAAAGCCUGACGCAGCGACGCCGCGUGGGGGAUGAAGGCCUUCGGGUUGUAAACCCUUUCAGCAGGGACGAAGCGAAAGUGACGGUACCUGCAGAAGAAGCGCCGGCUAACUACGUGCCAGCAGCCGC
rnacentral:rRNA from 1 species